ACUCCUGCGGGAGGCAGCAGUGGGGAAUUUUGGACACUGGGCGAAAGCCUGAUCCAGCAAUGCCGCGUGAGUGAAGAAGGCAUUCGGGUUGUAAAGCUCUUUUGUCAGGGAAGAAACGGUGAAAGCUAAUAUCUUUUGCUAAUGACGGUACCUGAAGAAUAAGCACCGGCUAACUACGUGCCAGCAGCCGCGGUAAUACGUAGGGUGCAAGCGUUAAUCGGAAUUACUGGGCGUAAAGCGUGCGCAGGCGGUUUUGUAAGUCUGAUGUGAAAUCCCCGGGCUCAACCUGGGAAUUGCAUUGGAGACUGCAAGGCUAGAAUCUGGCAGAGGGGGGUAGAAUUCCACGUGUAGCAGUGAAAUGCGUAGAUAUGUGGAGGAACACCGAUGGCGAAGGCAGCCCCCUGGGUCAAGAUUGACGCUCAGUCACGAAAGCGUGGGGAGCAAACGGUUUUAGAAACCCCAGUAGUCCCAUG
rnacentral:rRNA from 1 species